ACCUCCAGCUGGAGAGGUCAGACCUUGCAAGACACUUGAAACACCUUCCUGUCAAAAGAAGAUGAAAGCCGGGCGCUUUAUUUCUUACUCUGUGCACACAAGCCAAUGUUCCUCCCCAAUGAGAGCCCAAAGCUUCCAUGU